GACGUUGUUUGGUGUAAAGUCAGUUUUAUAGAGCUUUUUUUUUGUAUAUGAAAUGAUUUCAGAAUAUGAGAUUGACGUUUUAUUCGAAGAAGCACAAUCACGUUGGCUGAAGCCGGAGAUGAUGCUGUUUGAAUUACAAAAUCAUGAGAAAUUCGGUUUUACGCAGUAGGCCCCUCAAAAGCCACUUAGUAAGUAAGCUUCAUAUAUGAAAACAAGGUCUAGCUCAAGGGUCAGGAGUAAUCUUCAUAGGACUCAGGUCCUGAAUUCGAGUUUCAACGGGUGCGUGAGUUGAAAAUAACAAUUAAAAACAAAGUAAACUUUGCACUAAGAAGUGCUCCACCUGGACGCGACCAGCUCCACCACGAAGUGGCGACAACGGCGCGACAGCAUCUCCACCGCGAAGUGCUCCACCUGGACGCGACCAGCUCCACCACGGCGCGAUCUGCCUUGGGUGCGCGACACCACCACGCAACACCAGCUCCACUGCCACCUCACCGCGGAACGCCAACACCACCCCACCGCAUCACCACUACACGAUCUGGUUUGAUUUUAUGCAUAUACUAACAUCUUUUGGUUUAUUUCUAAUUGCUCGAU
rnacentral:lncRNA from 1 species